ensembl:snRNA U6 U6 spliceosomal RNA
GUGCUCGCUUUGGCAGCACAUAUACUAAAAUUGAAACAAUACAGAGAAGAUUAACAUGGUCCAUGCACAAGGAUGAUAUAAAAUUUGUGAAGUGUUCCAUAUUUUU